UCGGAGGCGGGAGAUCUCUCGUAAACCGUAACAUCGAAGAGAAGCAGCGAAGACGAAGGAAAGAGGUUACCGCUUGAAUACUCUUCUCCAUUUGAAUUCUCAAGUUCAUUCUCCAGUCUUGAGUUCUCUGCUUUCAUGGAGUUACAGCAGGAGCGAACACCGUCGGAAUCCAUAGAAGAUUCUUUGAAGCUCUUGAAGGACGAGCAGCGUCUCGCUGGCCUUUUCUUAGUCACUAUAAUUUGCGAGGUGGACGAUCGUGCCUCGCUUACUAGAGUUUACUAUGCUGUUGGAGCGAAGUUUCUUGAUCGGCUUCUCAGGACUGGCAUUGGUAAGGAAUUAUUAGUUGACCUGGAGAGGAGAAUUGCGAUGUGUAUUUGUAGCUGUAUGUUAGGAUUUUGGUUUGGCUGCGUUUUUUCAUGUUCCUGAGAUUUCUGGAGAUCGUCUCGGAGAUUCCGCUGAUACUAGAGGCCUAAUCCAGCCAAUGCGUCGGCUAUCCGUAUACUUUCUCUUGGUUGCAUUUCUACAUCAGUCAAUUGAUUAUUGACGGUAACUAGAACGAUGAGUUAUCCUCCUUAUUCCUUUGACUAUUGAUGUUCUGUUGAGAUAAUGUAUUAGAUUGAUCACAAGGCACGACAUCAGAUUUGCAAUAUAAUUAUUUACUUCAUUGUCCUGAAUUGACCACGAAUUCACUUCUGCUCUGUGGAUUUAGGUUCUUACCAUUAGGAAAUAAUCGAUUUAAUCGUGGACAAGAUUUUCCAGAGAGAGAUAUACAUUAUGCUUUCUUUUCUGGUCUGAGCUCCUUAAUCGAUGUAGGUCAGGAGCUUCCGUUUUGGAGGAGCGUUUUGAAUUUUUAUAUCUUGUAUCAACUGCUUCCGUUGUUGGAGUCUCCAUUCUAUAUAAAUCUGGAAGCUGAAAUUAAUGGUGCUAACAAUAAAGAUUACUUGCGUAGUUUCUUGACUAAUGCAUCAAUUGUAGGUUGAUUUAUCCAGUUGGACAUUCUUUUUGGUUUUAAUUAUCUUUCACUAAUUGCAGAAUUUUCUGUCAUGUUAGUUCUUGGUUUUUUCAUAAUUACAGAUUGUUAUUGUUUGGCUGAUGUGUUAUAUGUUUCAGACAUCACGUUAAAAUGUCUUUCGUGUCUAGUGCCCUCCAAUGUUUGGUCCAAACAUAUGCGUGAUGGAAUUUCAGCUAUCCUUCAGCUAUCCUUCACGCAUUUUCUUCAGGCUCUUAGUUUGGCUGUGUCUAUGGUAUCUAUUCUAGGAGAAGUUUGGCUGAUAGGCGAAAUUGAAUUACCUGAUGUUUGAGAUCCUAUUCCAUCCGACAGUCAAGAGCUGAGAUCGGUAUGGUGCUGGCCUAUAUGAAAUAUGAUGCUUGAAAGAAUUUCUCCUUGAAGGAGAGUGUUAUCUUAAAGCAGCGGAAUGUGGCUACUGCCUUCUUUUUGGUGGAAGAGAUAAUUAAGUCGAUAUCAAAUGUUCGUGAAGAUCAAGCUAUCUUGCGCAAACCCCCGAUGCAUGGAUAGAAAAAGUGAAGCAACUCUUAGACUAUAUGCUCUCUGUAGAAGGUGAAGAUGAACAGAGCCCCUUCAACUCUGUUCGCUUCUUGCUUCCCAUGCUAUGUCAAAUAACGAUGAAUGUUGAAGGAUGCAACACUUAUGUUUCUUCUAGAGGUCUUGCAGCUGUUGUGAAUUGGAAAUGCCUUAUAAAUUUCAUUCACAAAGCAUGGAUGGUGGCUGGAUUGACGACAAUGGAUCGGAUCCAUAUUCUCGGCUUGUGAUACAAUCUUGAUCGUGCUUCUCAAGAAGGAACUAGCUGAGCAUCCAUGUGGCGAAUCAUCUUUUGUUAGCCUUUUAGCAGCAGUUGCCAAAUUCGACUGUUAUGCCGACUACUCUUGUCAAGAAUCUUCACCGACCCAACAGUUAAAUUUUAGUAUAUUUUUGAUGGAGCGGUAGAUUCCCGGCGUGUUUGAAAGGUCAUUGGUAAUGAAUACUCCCUCCAUGGAAAAACUUGUGGUUGCUUACUUGUGGUUGCUUUCUAUAGUUCAUCCAAGAAAUCAGGCCUUUAACUUAUUUGUUGA